GAGGGGACGGGCGCGCGGCGCUGCGUCUCCGCGGGUCCGGGCUGGCGGCGCAGAGGGUGAGGGGGAGGAUCUAUCAUGGCGUCUAUGCAGAAACGAUUACAAAAAGAACUAUUGGCAUUGCAAAAUGAUCCACCUCCUGGAAUGACUCUAAAUGAAAAGAGUGUGCAAAAUUCAAUUACGCAGUGGAUUGUAGACAUGGAAGGUGCUCCAGGAACACUAUAUGAAGGGGAGAAAUUUCAGCUUCUAUUUAAGUUCAGUAGUCGGUAUCCUUUUGAUUCGCCUCAGGUCAUGUUUACUGGAGACAAUAUUCCUGUUCAUCCUCAUGUUUAUAGCAAUGGUCAUAUCUGUUUAUCCAUUCUAACAGAAGAUUGGUCUCCAGCUCUCUCAGUGCAAUCUGUUUGUCUUAGCAUUAUUAGCAUGCUUUCUAGCUGCAAAGAAAAGGUGUUUUCUUCUGUUGCAGAGGCGACCUCCAGAUAACUCGUUUUAUGUAAGAACAUGUAACAAGAAUCCAAAGAAAACAAAAUGGUGGUAUCAUGAUGACACAUGUUGAUGCCACCAUUUUGUGAUCCUCGUAGCAGAAGAUAGUCCUACUGAGAAAAUGAGCACUUUGAUCAUUCAGUCUUUGAACUUUAACCUUUGACUGGAAGUGACCUAUAGGCAAUGAAGACUACUUCCUUUGACUGCAUUUUUACUAGUGUGCAUUCUGGGCGCAUGUUGAUCGCUGGUUCAAUCCAUGCAACUGACAUGCUUUUAUUAGUCAUACAGUAUUAAUGCAGGUGUCCAGAAAUGUCAGAAUAAUUCCAUUAUUUUUAUUUUAAGCUUUUGGAAGAAUUCCAGGUCUUCAGAUAUUGUGCAAUAACACUGAGCUCCUUGGCGGUUUUGGUGCAGCCAUUGCCGGCAAUGGACAUUGUACCAGGGAAAGGUUUUGCUCCUGCCACACAAAAGAUUGAUGUAUGACAGAGCUUACGAAAGCUUCAAAUAUAUUUGGAUUAUAAGCAAGGGAUCUACCCUUACUUUAAAAGCCACCCCAUUCUUUUAUAUUUGGAUUCUAUGCACUGUGAUCACAAAACUAGCAGCAUGAGUUAACAUGCUUAGCUGAAGGACUGUAAUAAGACCAUUACAUAUUUAUUAAAUUAUCUGCUGUCAAAUUGUUUUGACGUGGAAGGUUUUUCAAGUGACAUUGUCAGAGAGGUACAAUGUUAUCCCUAUGGUGAAAUAAAACUACUUUUUGUAUAUAAUUAUUCAUAUCUCUGAAGCAAAGGUAUGAGUAAUUUAGGGUAUGAGUGAUUUAAUCCAGAAUUUAUUUUGGAGAUAGGAGAGGAUGGCAGUGAUAUAACUGAACUUGCUGCAGUCCGUGAUUGGGCUUGUAACUUGUACUUUAGAGCUUUUUCCAAAUAGAUUGCACACUGUUAUUUCCUGCUAGCCAUCAGCAUGAGCCCUACUGCUUACACCAAUAUUUCAUUUAUUUAUGUGUUUGAAAGCAAUCCAUAUAACAUUUUUUGUUUGCAUUCACUGUUUCUUUUGUUGUAUGUCAUGUUUGAAUGUUACAAAACUACUUUGAUUGAAAAGCUUUGUCAGAAGAUAUUUUCAUGUAAAUUAUUUCUUUAUCUUGUAAGCAUCAUCUUGUCUUUUAAUCCUGUACUAUAAAAAGGAAAAAAAAAUACAUUUUUGACAGAGGCAUAAUGUUUUGACAAAAAAGUGUGGACCUUCUUAUUUAAGUUCAGACUAAAGUAUAUUUUCUUAACUUGCUUGUCCCAUGCAGUCAUACCAAUUUUUUUCCAGGCUUUUAGUUCACCAAAACAGGGGAAAAAGCCUAAAAUCAGAUUGACGUUUUUCUAUGGAGCAACAUUUAUUGAAAUGAUAGUUGUUCUCACCACUCUGUAAUAUUUUGAUACUGGAAUUAGGUUGUCUUUUUAGGAAGCACUUUUAUAAACUUAAUACCUUUACACAUAUGCAAAAUUUCUAUAACUUUGUUUUUAAUGUUGCCUUAUUAUUGCACUCAAAAAAAUCAAGCAAUUAAUGCAUGAAUGUCUAAGUCAAGUAAUUACUUGAUUUCAAACCAAACAAAAGCCAAAAAACCCCGCCCCAAGACAAUUUGAUUACUACAAUAACAAAUAGAAAAUUGGCUGAAAUUCUGAUUUUUUUUUUUCUUACUGCUGUAUGAUAACCGACAAGUUUUAUAGCCUUGUACAUACUUCUCUGUUACCUAAUGUUUAAAACAUUUUUAAAAAACAGUAUAGGUGCUUAACUCAGGGUGGAUAGAGUUCAGAUAGAUAUGCUUCAGAGAAGUAUUUUAUACAGCAGCUGAGUUAUGGAUGUUGCCAGUGAAGUGAGGCUACAGUAUACUUCAGGAACUGCUAUUUUUUCUACUGUAUUGAAAAUAUCUCUUGGCCUUUUAAAACUCAAUGGUAAAACCUAGCUUUGGAUAUAAAUUUGGUGUGUGUAUAUAUUUUCACAGUGAGCCUUUAAAACAUAUAAUUCAAUUUCUCUUAAUAGCCAAAAAUAAUCAUUUUAGGCAAAUUAAGUAGUUCUGCUCCUAACUUUUUGUUUAGCAAAAUAUUAUUGUUGUGAGUUAAUCAAACUGGUUAUUGUUGGAAAUGGUUCAUAUGAAAGAGCAGUAAUCUGAUGUUUAAUCUGUAUAUUCACAUGAACUGCUCUGUAUUGAUUGAAAUGAUUGAUGCAUCUUUGAGAAAUUAAUAUAUGAAUGGUUCACAUAAUGGAUCUUAUAAAACAGUCCACGGGAAAGUGACCUCAUUGUGACAGAAGGUAAUGUCUCUGAAGAAAUGGUUCAAGUACACGUUCUCAGAUUCAUCUUUUUCAUGUGAUGACUUGCCAUACUACAAUACAUGGUUUCAGAGAAGCUUUAUGACAUACUCUAUGUGUUUUGUUGAAGGUGGGCGUUGUAGUGCAAAGCAUUAUACAUUUUAUUGACCUGUGCUAUCACAUUUACUACAGUGAAGUUAAAUAACCAAAUUUGUGCUGCUCUUUAAUUACCGCCCCCAUAAUAGAUCAAAAAAAUGCAAGGUAGAUUGGAAGAGAAUGUACCUCAGGUCUUUUGAGUUUACAGUAGAAAUGCCUCCAUGGGUUCUCUUGUAGAUCUGUGGGUGAGUUCACCUACAUACGGAAGGCCAAGAUGAAGCCUAUAUACCACUGAAGCCCUCAAAAUAAUGCAACUAUUCUGACAAUGCGAUGUAUGCCCUGAAAUAGGGCUUCAAUUAGAUGAAGGUGGUGCCAUCCUUUCUGUAGGGUGACACUGUGUAUGUAACUUUGUUUCAUUUGGAAUUUCUCACAUGAAAUAGUUACAGAAUUGGCUUGAAAUGAUCUUGCUUUUAUUUUGUGUCAAUGUUCAUGUUGUUAAACAUCUUGUUUUGUGUUUAGUGUCUUUAUACUAUAACACAAUAAAUUCGUGUUUUAAAAUAGCUCACUACCCUUGAAUGGAAAUACGUGUGGACCUUUUCAUGGUGGAAUGCAGAAGCACUGUUCCUUACAUUCAGCUGCUCUUGAGACAAAACUGUCAGUAAUUCCAGAAUGCUGUGAUGGAUAUCAAGGGAGGAAUUUGAGUAAUAGCAAGGUGUUCCCACUCUUUUCCAGAAGAUAUCUGUUGUAACAGCUGAAAUAGUUUCUUAUUAAAAAAAAUCACUAAGAUACAGUGCUUCAUUUCUCAUAGAUGAUCAAAUAGUUACUUAUCAUGGUUCUUGGCCAUUUGACAAACUUCAGAUAUUGAAUGGGGAGUUUCAGAUGCAGGAUUCAUGUUUGCUUGCAGUGGUGGGAAGAGAGUUUCUAUUACUUUGAUAGCACGUCAGGACUGUUAAAUGAAACUUGCUGCUUCAUAUAAAUAACUGCUUUCAGUUUUGUACAAUUUUUUUUAUCAAGAGAUGAUGGCUUGUGUUUUGGAAAAAGGCAAUUUCUUCAUACUUAAACCUAUUUUUGUGGAAAAUAUGUUUUUCAAGUUGUAUAUCAUAUGUCAUGAAUACUGUUCUGUAUGUUUGAUUUUUUUAGUUAGUCUUUUAUUUGAAAGUCUGACAAAAUAUCAUUCACAUCUCAGGUUUAAAGGUACGAUCUAAGGAGACUAUCAAAUUCCCAUGUCAGUAAUUAAAUUUUAAAGAACACAUUGAAUAAAUGUCUGUCAGGAAAGAUUUAAAUAUAAUUGGUAAUAUGACUUUUCAAUCCUGUUUUUUGUUUAAUGUAUAUGUAAAUAUUUAUUAAAAUGUAUUGUGUUUAAAAACAAAGGGGGGAAAAAAGAUGUGUGUCACUCAUGUUUCUUAGGACAUGUCCUGUCAAUAUUAAAAGUUUUACAGUAGUGCA